rnacentral:rRNA from 1 species
UACGUAGGGUCCGAGCGUUGUCCGGAAUUACUGGGCGUAAAGAGCUCGUAGGUGGUUUGUCGCGUUGUUCGUGAAAACUCACAACUCAAUUGUGGGCGUGCGGGCGAUACGGGCAGACUGGAGUACUGCAGGGGAGACUGGAAUUCCUGGUGUAGCGGUGGAAUGCGCAGAUAUCAGGAGGAACACCGGUGGCGAAGGCGGGUCUCUGGGCAGUAACUGACGCUGAGGAGCGAAAGCGUGGGGAGCAAACAGG